rnacentral:rRNA from 1 species
ACGAACGCUGGCGGCGUGCUUAACCCAUGCAAGUCGAACGGUGAAGCGCCUUCCUUUUUGGUGGGUGUGGAUGAGUGGCGAACGGGUGAGUAACACGUGAGUAACCUGCCCCCUUCUUCUGGAUAACCGCAUGAAAGUGUGGCUAAUACGGGAUAUUCUGGGUCUGUCGCAUGAUGGGUCUGGGAAAGAUAUUGUUUCGGUGGGGGAUGGGCUCGCGGCCUAUCAGCUUGUUGGUGGGGUGAUGGCCUACCAAGGCGGUGACGGGUAGCCGGCCUGAGAGGGUGGACGGUCACACUGGGACUGAGACACGGCCCAGACUCCUACGGGAGGCAGCAGUGGGGAAUAUUGCACAAUGGGCGCAAGCCUGAUGCAGCGGCGCCGCGUGAGGGAUGGAGGCCUUCGGGUUGUGAACCUCUUUCGCCAGUGAAGCAGGCCUGCCUCGUUUGUGGGUGGGUUGACGGUAGCUGGAUAAGAAGCGCCGGCUAACUACGUG